rnacentral:rRNA from 1 species
UACGUAGGGGGGCUAGCGUUGUCCGGAAUCAUUGGGCGUAAAGAGCGUGUAGGCGGCCCGGUAAGUCCGCUGUGAAAGUCGGGGGGCUCAACCCUCGAAUGCCGGUGGAUACUGUCGGGCUAGAGUGCGGAAGAGGCGAGUGGAAUUCCUGGUGUAGCGGUGAAAUGCGCAGAUAUCAGGAGGAACACCAAUUGCGAAGGCAGCUCGCUGGGACGUAACUGACGCUGAGACGCGAAAGCGUGGGGAGCAAACAGG